rnacentral:rRNA from 1 species
UACAGAGGGGGCAAGCGUUAUUCGGAAUUAUUGGGCGUAAAGGGCGCGUAGGCGGCCUGGCAAGUGGAAGGUGAAAUCCCUCGGCUCAACCGAGGAAGUGCACCCGAAACUGCUGAGCUUGAGUGCCGGAGAGGAUGGCGGAAUUCCCCAAGUAGAGGUGAAAUUCGUAGAUAUGGGGAGGAACACCGGUGGCGAAGGCGGCCAUCUGGACGGUAACUGACGCUGAGACGCGAAAGCGUGGGUAGCAAACAGG